rnacentral:lncRNA from 1 species
CUGGCUUUACCUGAGGAAAUAAAAGUGUGCGAAGCUGUCGAGGAAAAGGCCACCGUCCUUGGUGCGCUGUCCUGUGCAGGGCAUACAGGACUUGGUUGGGACUGUGUCGUGGGCACCAUUGUCCAAAGCCUGGCCGAGCUCCUCAGAGGCCAGUGGCGGCUGGGUCCCGCGCGGUUUCUGGACCAGCUCUCCUGCUGACUCAUUCUGGGACCUGGGAAGGGACGUCCCCCUCUGGGGUUCAGUUUCCUCCGCUAUGUCAGGUGACUUCUGAGCUCCAAGGGAGCCUGUGAGGGGGCCCAAGGGCCUCUGGGGACAAGGCCACGCCUCUCUGAGGCACACUCCACAUGCAGCUUGGGCUCUCUCCAUGUGCAUGGCUUUGGGACUUGUUUGGAAUUUUACUUGUUCUCCAUAACAUUUCACUUCGGUGUGUGGUGAGGCGUUUCCUGCCUACCCCGGAGUAGCCUGUGUCCUGUUAUGGGCAUGAGGUGAAUGGAGCAGACACUUAAGGAAGACUUGGGCUUCUCCCGCCUCUUCCUGUGGCCCUCUCUGCCUGUCCAGGAGAAAGUCCCGCUCUGGCUGCCAUCCUUCUGGCUCCUGUUCCCCGCUCCACAGAACAAGCGUUCCCAGCAAGACCAAGCUUGGUCAUCUCUCCUACAGUCUGUGCGAGCUCCUUCUUGUGAAAUGGAUUCUCCCUCCAUGCUUUCCUGCACUUCCGUCCCAGGAAUCCAUGGCUUUUCCUCUAAUUGCUCAAAAACAUCCAGCUUGCUUCAGGGAGUCCUGAAAGUGUUACAGCCGAAACUGAAAGUGAGACCACUCAAAGUUUAGUUUUGCUUCAAGAGGUCAAAACCCACAUCACAAAUGCUAAUUUAGAAAGCAAAAACCUUUGAUCUGGGAAGCCCAGAUUUAUCAAAAGCAAACAGAUCUUUGAUCGUGAGGGUACUGGGAGUAGAAUGGAGACUGCAUGAGAAUCCGAGUUGCAGUGCAGAGAGGAAGUCUGGGACCGGUGCUCACCACGCUCCGGGGACCCGCUAAAGGGCAGCAUUACCCGCUCAUGUCUCCUUUGAAGAGCGACGGGUUCCAGCACCGGUGAGGGGAGCCUGGGUCUCAGGAGGUUCUUGCUAUAGCUACUUGUCCCUCCACUUCCGCUGGAAAGACUCCCACUCACGCACUAGAGUUAUGUGGAUUCCCAGCCCCCUGCCCUCUGUGAGCAUGUACACCACUCUUAGUGACCAAGGAGCCUUUCAAAUCUCCUGAAAUAUAUUGCUGGUGAGGAGGGGAUAUCCUUGAUACCCAGUGAGGAAAUGUCUAUUGCUCUUGGAGAUAUGAGACCCAUCCCUGUUACAAAAGAUUUCAUUUGAGUAAACCCUUCUGUGCUUAAGGUCCUUCGAAAGACUUUUGGUUUCACAUGCAAAGUAUGAAGGUUUACUCUCAUCUUUCCUGGAACAAACUGGUGACCAAACUGAAGAGGAAAGACUUUUCUUACACCCAUCAGAGAGCUGACAUAUGGAGAGUUCUUUGGAAUCCCAAAGACAACAAAAUGAAGAGAAGUGAACUAGAGAAAUUGGAAGUCCAAAGCAUCUACAGCUAUAGUGAACAUUCAAUUCAGUCCCAUUCAGUCCGCAUUCAGAAGAUGUACAAGAGUCCCUUGUACAUCUUCCCACCAGAGGCCUGGUUACCUUGGAUACAAUUACAACAUACCCAACUUUCUACAAAAAGUUACAAAGCACUCUAAAAAGCAAGAAAAAACUCACUAUGUUUAGAGUCAAACUAAGCAUCUUCGGCACAGAAGAACAUAAAUUUUUGGAAUUACGAGCUAGGUGAUCAAAGUCCACUUCCACAGUGCUGAGUCAUGAUGAAAUCAUGCAACCUUGGAACCAUGUGAUGGCAGCAGGACUUCUCCUCUGCAUUCUUCACCAAGAAACACAUCACUCCAGUCCAAUUUGAGGAAAACAUCGUCUACUACCAUAUCGAGGGACAGUCUACAAAAUACCUGACUAGAGCUCUUCAAAACCGUCAAGGCCACCAAAAACAAGAAAAUCUGAGAUACUCAGCAAGAGGGACCCAGGAGACAAGACUAUUAAAUUAAUGUGGUACUAUCAAUUUUUUUUUUAUUUUAAAGAUAAAAGGAGGGAAACAUUAACAGACAUACAACAUUUUACAACAUAUCACAAGCACAAUACAGACAAUACAGAGUUACAAACAAAGUAGUAGGGAAUUAACAAUGGUGGUCGUAUUACAUAUUGAUAUCUUCAAAGUGGCUUCUCAUGAAUGUGGUACUAUCAAUUAAUAGAAUCCUGGGACAGAAAAAGGACAUUAGGUAAAAACUAAAGAAAUCUGAAUAAAACAAUGAACUUUAGUUAGUAAUUAUUUAUAAACAUUGGCUCAUUAAUUGUUAACAAGUAUGCCAGGAAAAUGUUUAAGUUUUAGUAAUAGGGGAAAUUGGGUGAAGGGUUUACGAGAACUCUUGGUACUAUAUUUAUAAUUUUUCU